GACAGAGGUGCCGAGCGUUAGGCGGAAUCACUGGGCUUAAAGCGUGUGUAGGCGGAUCGUUAAGUAUCUUGUGAAAUCCCCCGGCUCAACCGGGGAAUGGCUGGAUAUACUGGCGGUCUUGAGCGAUCUAGGGGCAGAUGGAACAAGUGGUGGAGCGGUGAAAUGCGUAGAUAUCACUUGGAACGCCAAAGGUGAAAACAGUCUGCUGGGGAUCUGCUGACGCUGAGACACGAAAGCCAGGGGAGCGAACGGG
rnacentral:rRNA from 1 species